rnacentral:rRNA from 1 species
CCUACGGGUGGCAGCAGUCGAGAAUCAUUCACAAUGGGGGAAACCCUGAUGGUGCGACGCCGCGUGGGGGAAUGAAGAUCUUCGGAUGGUAAACCCCUGUCAUGUGGGAGCAAAUGACGAAGAUAGUACCAGAAGAGGCAGAGACGGAUGACUCAGCGCCAGCAGCCGCGGUAAUAGCGAGGGCGCAAGCGGUGUUCGGAGUUACUGGGUGUAAAGCGUGCGUAGGCGGAUGCGUAGGUCGUGUGUGAAAGGCGCGGGCUCAACCCGCGGACGGCACAUGAUACUGCGAGACUAGAGUGAUGGAGAGGGAAGCGGAAUUCUCGGUGUAGCAGUGAAAUGCGUAGAUAUCGAGAGGAACACUCGUGGCGAAGGCGGGUUCCUGGACAUUAACUGACGCUGAGGCACGAAGGCGUGGGGAGCGAAAGGGAUUAGAUACCCCAGUAGUC